GCACCUUCUCAACAGCAUACCUGGGAUCCUCCAGCACUGAAUCCCAGCAACUGUCAAGACUGACCAGGUCUCUGCCAAACAGAUGCCCAGCUAUGCAGCUACAUCCACCUCCAGAUGUCAAAAAAAAAGAAAAAAAAAACAGAAAAUGAGAAUGUUCCCAUCAGACCCAACUGAACUGCCACUGGGAAGUGGGCAUAGUGGAGGAGGGAGUAGAAGAUGAAUUGGCUUGGAAAUCACGAUGACCUGUGCUCUCCCACAGGCCCUGCUACCUACUGGCUGUGUGGCCCUAGAUAAGGCACCUUCCUUCUCUGAGACUCCGUUUACAAAACAGUAAAACAGAAAUUUUGAGGAAACAUUCAGAAAGCAGGCAGAUUCUACACUCACAGACAGAACAUUGAUGAAGAUAAUAGUGGAAGCUCAGAAGAGAUAAGCCUAAUAAAACCUCAAAUAAACCCAAUUAUAAAGCCAAUAUUUCAGCCUCAGGAAAAAUAUUGAUUCCAUACCCUGUGAGAAGAAAUUAAGAAACUGAUUGCCUCUGAGUUCUAGUGUGGAAGUCGGGGGGCCUGCUGUCUUAUUCCAAGGUCCAGUUUCUAUGAAGACCAGUUUUUCUGCUCAAAUACCGAGCUUUCCUGCAUGGUCU